GGGGAGGUACCCAAGCGGCCAACGGGAGCUGACUGUAGAUCAGCUGGCGGAACGCCUUCGGAGGUUCGAAUCCUUCCCUCCCCACCA
rnacentral:tRNA from 1 species